rnacentral:rRNA from 1 species
AUUGAACGCUGGCGGCAUGCCUUACACAUGCAAGUCGAACGGUAACAGGUUAAGCUGACGAGUGGCGAACGAGUGAGUAAUAUAUCGGAACGUGCACAGUCGUGGGGGAUAACGUAGAGAAAGCUACGCUAAUACCGCAUACGAUCUACGGAUGAAAGCGGGGGAUCGCAAGACCUCGCGCGAUUUGAGCGGCCGAUAUCAGAUUAGGUUGUGUGUGAGGUAAAGGCUCACCAAGCCUGCGAUCUGUAGCUGGUCUGAGAGGACGACCAGCCACACUGGAACUGAGACACGGGCCAGACUCUUACGGGAGGCAGCAGUGGGGAAUUUUGGACAAUGGACGCAAGUCUGAUCCAGCAAUGCCGCGUGCAGGACGAAGGCCUUCGGGUUGUAAACUGCUUUUGUACGGAACGAAACGGCGAGCUCUAAUACAGUUUGCUAAUGACGGUACCGUAAGAAUAAGCACCGGCUAACUACGUGCCAGCCGCCGCGGUAA